GGCAUAGCUCAGUGGGAGAGCACCUCCCUUUAAAGCAGAGGGUCCCAGGUUCAGUCCCUGGAAUCUCCA